rnacentral:tRNA from 1 species
GCCUGGGUGGCUCAGUCGGUUGAGCAUCCGACUUCAGCUCAGGUCAUGAUCUCGCGGUCCGUGGGUUCGAGCCCCACGUCGGGCU